rnacentral:rRNA from 1 species
UACGAAGGGGGCUAGCGUUGCUCGGAAUCACUGGGCGUAAAGGGCGCGUAGGCGGCCAUUCAAGUCAGAGGUGAAAGCCCAAGGCUCAACCUUGGAACUGCCUUUGAUACUGUUUGGCUUGAGACCGGUAGAGGUAAGUGGAACUGCGAGUGUAGAGGUGAAAUUCGUAGAUAUUCGCAAGAACACCGGUGGCGAAGGCGGUUCUCUGGGCCUUACCUGACGCUGAGGAGCGAAAGCGUGGGGAGCAAACAGG